rnacentral:rRNA from 1 species
CGGCACAUAAGACAAUAGCAAGUCUAACGGACUUAACUCAUCUUUUAGUAUUGAGAGCGGUAGUGGCGGACUGGUGAGUAACACGUAAGCAACCUAGCCUAUCAGAGGGGAAGUAACAAGUGAGAAAUCAUUGCUAAUACCGCAUAUGCUCACAGUAUCACAUGAUACAGUGAGGAAAGGAGUAAUCCGCUGAUAGAUGGGCUUGCGUCUGAUUAGUUAGUUGUGGGGUAACGGCCUACCAAGACUACGAUCAGUAGCCGGACUGAGAGGUUGAACGGCCACAUUGGGACUGAGAUACGGCCCAGACUCCUACGGGAGGCAGCAGUCGGGAAUAUUGCGCAAUGGAGGAAACUCUGACGCAGUGACGCCGCGUAUAGGAAGAAGGUUUUCGGAUUGUAAACUAUUGUCAUUAGGGAAGAUAAAAGACGGUACCUAAGGAGGAAGCCCCGGCUAACUAUGUG